UAGAGUUUCGGCUCAGGAUGAACGCUGGCGGCGUGCCUAAUACAUGCAAGUCGAGCGAAUGGUAAGAGCUUGCUCUUAUGAAGUUAGCGGCGGACGGGUGGUAACACGUGGGUAACCUGCCCAUAAGACUGGGAUAACUCCGGGAAACCGGGGCUAAUACCGGAUAACAUUUUGAACGCAUGGUUGAAAUUGAAAGGCGGUUCGGCUGUCACUUAUGGAUGGACCCGCGUGCAUUAGUAGUUGGUGAGGUAACGGCUCACCAAGGCAACGAUGCGUAGCCGACCUGAGAGGGUGAUCGGCCACACUGGGAUGAGACCGGCCCAGAUCUACGGGGGCCAGUAGGGAAUUUCCGACGAAAGUCUGACGGAGCAACGCCGCGUGAGUGAUGAAGGCUUCGGGUCGUAAAACUCUGUUGUUAGGGAAGAACAAGUGCUAGUUGAAUAAGCUGGCACCUUGACGGUACCUAACCAGAAAGCCACGGCUAAUACGUGCCAGCAGCCGCGUAUAGGUGGCAAGCUUAUCCGGAAUUAUUGGGCGUAAAGCGCGCGCAGGUGGUUUUUAAGUCUGAUGUGAAAGCCCACGGUCAACCGUGGAGGGUUGAACUUGAGUGCAGAAGAGGAAAGUGGAAGCAGAGUAGGGGAACACCAGUGGAGACUU
rnacentral:rRNA from 1 species